GGCCUAGUGGCGAAAGGCAUCGCGUCCGCAACAUCUGAGAAGUCAAAAUUGGUAGUCUGGAAUUCCCUGGUUCGAAUCCAGGCUAGGUCA